rnacentral:rRNA from 1 species
UAGGGAAUCUUCCGCAAUGGACGCAAGUCUGACGGAGCAACGCCGCGUGAGUGAAGAAGGUUUUCGGAUCGUAAAGCUCUGUUGUUAAGGAAGAACGAGUGUGAGAAUGGAAAGUUCAUACUGUGACGGUACUUAACCAGAAAGGGACGGCUAACUACGUGCCAGCAGCCGCGGUAAUACGUAGGUCCCGAGCGUUGUCCGGAUUUAUUGGGCGUAAAGCGAGCGCAGGCGGUUAGAUAAGUCUGAAGUUAAAGGCAGUGGCUCAACCAUUGUAGGCUUUGGAAACUGUUUAACUUGAGUGCAGAAGGGGAGAGUGGAGUUCCAUGUGUAGCGGUGAAAUGCGUAGAUAUAUGGAGGAACACCGGUGGCGAAAGCGGCUCUCUGGUCUGUAACUGACGCUGAGGCUCGAAAGCGUGGGGAGCGAACAGG